ACAUCCGGAGAAUCCCCGCGUCCGGCGGGGUGCCGAAGGUGCAAGGCGGUUUCUGCCGCUGAAUCUCUCAGGCGAAAAGACGGAUUU
rnacentral:ncRNA from 2 species